CGAGCAGCUGGUACAGGAAUGCCGCUUCGUUGCUGGCGCGGCCCGACGUGUAGAACGCGGCCUGGUUCGGGUCGGGCAGCGCGC
rnacentral:tRNA from 1 species